UGUAAGACAACGUCAUUUGCACUAAAGUUAUUGUAACUGAAGUCACUGUGCUGAGUAAUUGACCUAUUACUUGCACUGUAUGUACUGUGUGUAUUACAAAUGAGUUACUGAUAUUUUGUCACUGGAUUUCCUAAUAAAGUAUUUUGUUGUUUUAUACUUCACAUGUGAGACAGGAAGGAUCAUGUUUUAAGGGCCAGAUACUCAGUUGUUUUCAGUUGAUCUGUGUUUUUGAUGGACUGCUAAGGAGUAAUCAUGAGACACGGAACUCAUAGACUAAAGAUUUUGAGAACUGUUGCAAAAGACACAGUCAUCUGACAAUACUGACAAAUAUCCUUUUGAGCCAUCAAAUAUGUUUCAUUUACAACAGUGGAUCUAAGGCAAGCUGUGUUGUGACAAAGGAUUUAACUCCUUGAAGUGUCCCACCUCCUCCUCCUCAAAAAUGACCAUAGAACUUGAAUGAUCCCAUAUUCACUGCUGUUAAU
rnacentral:lncRNA from 1 species